UAGAGCAGAGCUGAAUUAGCUACCGGCGCGGCCGUAUGUGCUGACCAUCAGCAAGCACCUGUUGCCAGUAUAUUUGAGUUGCCAAUAUAUUUUUGUUUCUGUUGCUCUUCAACAUUUUAAGGAAAAAAAGAGAGUUCAACAUCAUUCCUGGUUAAGUGGGAGGGGUUAAGAGUUCCAGCAAUCAUGAGACUAGCAGACUACAACGAGUUGUUGGAGAGUUUAACAAGUGAUGAUUGUGAUGGCACAACUGCAUCUCUGCUCUGUAUUCAAGAAAAAUUUCCCAAUGUUUCUCAUUCGACGUUGGUCAGCAUCUACUCACAGCAUUGUCAGAUGAUCACGAGACAGACAUACCAUCAUCACAACAAUCCUGAUAUGAUCUCCUAUUAUGUACAGUUGUAUCAAACCUUGAUUAAACAGAAUGAAAGUUCUCCUGUUCUCAUACAGAUUGCCAAGGAGGCCAAUAUGCCUCCAGCUGUUAUAGCAAGAUUCGUUGUGGAAGGUCUCCAUGACAAACUCUCAAAUCAGGAAGUUACAAAGUCUACAAUCACUCAGUUUCUGAGGGAGCCUUAUUUGAUAGAAGACCCAGUGCUUGCCUACCAAGUUCAACUUUGCACUCUACAUGAUGUCACGUAUGGACCUUAUGCAGAAAGCAUUAAACACUCAGUGGGAAAUGAAUAUGAAUUCCUCUUGGUACAGUUGCUGAAAGAGAGGAAGAUAGCAUUCCUACAAGAGGAUGACAUGAGAAAGAAGGGAUAUGACAAGACUCCUGAUACUAAAUUAGAGGUGCCUGUAGCCUGGAAUGGUCACAUCAUUAACUGGAUAGAGAGUAAAGCUUCAUUUGGAGAUGUUUUCAGUCAUAGCAAUUAUCUCAAGGAUCAAUACCUCAGUUAUGCCAACAGGUUUGGAUCUGGUCUUGUGAUAUAUUGGCAUGGUUUCAUAGAUGAGCUUGCAGCAGGAUGCAUUGAACAAGGAAUUGCACUAGCCGACCACCUUCCAGAAGACUUGACCCAUCUCCAGCCUUGACCGAGGAAAAUGUACUUGCUGGCCAUCUCCCAGAAAAUUUGACCAUCAUCCAAAAGGUUUGACCAUCCCCAACCUUAAGCGAGGUAUUUUUCUGGCUGACCGUCUUGCAGGAGACUUGACCCAUCUCCAGCCUUGACCAAGGAAAUGUACUUGCUGGCCAUCUUCCAGAAAAUUUGACCAUCAUCCAAAAGGUUUGACUGUCCCCAACCUUAAGCAAGGUAUUUUUCUGGCUGACCGUCUUGCAGGAGACUUGACCCACCUCCAGCCUUGUGAUCAAAACAUGAGAUUGGGGAGGUUUGAUGUUAUGAUCUUAAGGGAUGUUGGGAGUAUCGGAAAUGGAGGGAAGUACUGAAAGACUUGCACAUCUUCAACCUUGAUGCGCAGGAUGAGUAAAGGGGAAACAGCAUCACCUUGUCUAAGCAUGCAGAUCAUGGUUUUCUAAGGUUUUGAGCAUCUGGAAUGGAAAGAAAUAAAGCGAUUGUAUUUUUGGAAGAUCCUUUAUGUCUCCAACCUUGACAGAGGAUGAGUUGAGGAGAUGCUUGCCAGUAUCAUCUCCAGUAAGCAUGCAGAUCAAGGUCCUCUAAGGAUAUGAGCAUCGGGAAUUGUCUUUAAAUGAUCCCACACAUCUCUAACCUAAGCAUAUGAGUUGAGGGAAUACUUGACAAUUCUCCACUUCCAGAUGGUCCUCUAAGAGCAUCUAGAAUGGAGAAAAAUAGAGGGAAUGUAUUUCAAAGAUCUUGCACAUAUCUAAAUUUGUUUUUAAAGAUCCUGUACAUCUCCAACCUUGAUACAGGAUGAAUUGUGGGAUACUUGAUGGUGCCAUUUCAGGAACAAUCCAGGAAAUACAUUAUAAUAACAAAAUUAAUAAUAAGAAUUCAUAAAGUGCCAUAAUCUAUUACGAGGUGCAUUGUUAUUAUUAUUAUUAUUAACCCGGCUUUAGCUCGAGCUGCCUUCCAGCACUCCUUGCAUUCUAGGAAUUAAUCCUGCUUGGUACCCAUUUAUCUCACCUGGGUUGAGUGCAGCACAAUCUGGAUAUAUUAAUCUAGCUUGAGGUGUGAUCAUGUGGUGAAAGGAAGUUGAUGAUUCUAUCUCAAUCAAGAUUCAAGAAUAUAUCAUAUCUAAAAAUAUUUUAAUUGUGUUACUCUAUAAAAAAAAGUUUGUUGUUGUCUUAAUUAUGGGAUUGGAAUGGAUAUUUAUAAGGAUGCCAUUUUAUUCAAUGUUUUUAAUCUUCCUAUGUCUACCCCAAAAUCAUGUCUUAAAAAUAGAGAUGACAUCAUAGCAUUGUGAAACUGAGCUCCCACAAAUACCUUUCCCGUGUGGUUGUUAAUAUACAAGCAUGUUGUGACAGACCUUGUCACAGACCAGCAAGAGUUUGGUAGACCUUGUCACAGACCAGCAAGGGUUUGGUAGACCUUGUCACAUACCAGCAAGGGUUUGGUAGACUUUGUCACAGACCAGCAAGAGUAUGGUAGACCUUGUCACAGACCAGCAAGAGUUUGGUAGACCUUGUCACAGACCAGCAAGAGUUUGGUAGACCUUGUCACAGACCAGCAAGAGUUUGGUAGACAUUGUCACAGACCAGCAAGAGUUUGGUAGACCUUGUCACAGGCCAGCAAGAGUUUGGUAGACCUUGUCACAGACCAGCAAGAGUUUGGUAGAUAUUGUCAGAGUAGGAGCCAAUUAAGAGCACGUUUAUUUGGACCCCCGCCAUCCCCUAGAUUAACCGUGCAUUUGCCACCAAAAUUGUUACCUACAAAGUGAUCUACAAAACAGUAUUUUCAAAUUUCAAUUUUGAUUAAUUAUGCUGAUUUAUACAUUGAAUCGGAAAUAUGCUGUAUUUAAGUUAACUUAAGCCCCAAAUUUGAUUAUUGGGGGGGGGGUGUAUUAUUUGUGAGAUUCUGAAUGAGUGUAUUUUUUACAGUACAAAUUCUGUUCUUAUAUGUAUUUUCUUGUUUUCUUAAUACUUAUUAGGGAUUUUCCCCAAAAAAAAUUGCCAAUGAUGUUAUUUAAAUCUUGACCAGAAUGAAAAUGAUUGAUUUAAUUGAUAGAAGUAAGAAAUAUAAUAUAUUUAGAGAUAUACUCCUGUAUUCUAAAGUCUGCAUAUUUAUCUCACACGGUAAAAAUACUGAUUUUUUGUCAAAAUACUGAUUUUGGGGAUAAGAAUACUGAAAAUGCAAAAUACAACUUGGCAGCUCUGCAUAGGUCAGUAUACAACUAAAAAUAUCCAAAUGACUUAAGUGAUAAUAAAUUUUGGUGCAAAUCAAUUUAGUCCAUUUUCAUCACAAUAGAUGUUGCUCCUAGAAUCACAAACUUAACUUGUGGAUAUUUAUUAUGUAGAAACAAAGUAUAUCACAAUUUUGUUGAUGACUGAAUAAGAUAAUAACCUCAUUAAUAUCUGAAUGUCAUUCCUGUACAUGUAUAGUGCAAGUUCUGCAAGAGUGUUAUAUUUAUGUUCCAUAAGAGGUGAGAAAUUAUGUUCUUUAAGUUCUUUCACACUUUUCUGUCAUAUUUUUCAAGUCGCAUUCUUCCACCUAAAUCUGCCACCGAAGAAAAGGGGGUCAGACUAAUAUUCAUUGAAAAGAAUAUACACAAAUUUCAUGAUUUUAUCAAUGACAAGAUCUAUACCUUUGCAAUUAAUGUGUAAUAAAAAAUAUAUUUUUUUUA